CAAUAGCGUAUAUUAAAGUUGUUGCGGUUAAAAAGCUCGUAGUUGGAUUUCUGCUGAGAACGACCGGUCCGCCCUCUGGGUGUGUAUCUGGCUCUUUCUUGGCAUCUUCUUGGUGAACGUUGCUGCACUUAACUGUGUGGAGCGCUACCCAGGACUUUUACUUUGAGGAAAUUAGAGUGUUUCAAGCAGGCAUACGCCUUGAAUACAUUAGCAUGGAAUAAUAAGAUAAGACCUCGGUUCUAUUUUGUUGGUUUCUAGAGCUGAGGUAAUGAUUAAUAGGGAUAGUUGGGGGCAUUCGUAUUUAACUGUCAGAGGUGAAAUUCUUGGAUUUGUUAAAGACGAACUACUGCGAAAGCAUUUGCCAAGGAUGUUUUCAUUGA
rnacentral:rRNA from 1 species